rnacentral:rRNA from 1 species
UACGGGGGGGGCGAGCGUUGUUCGGAAUUACUGGGCGUAAAGGGCGCGUAGGCGGUCUGCUAAGUUGGAUGUGAAAACUCUGGGCUUAACCCAGAGCCUGCAUUCAAAACUGACAGGCUAGAGUUCUGGAGGGGGAAGCGGAAUUCCUGGUGUAGCGGUGAAAUGCGUAGAUAUCAGGAGGAACACCGGUGGCGAAGGCGGCUUCCUGGACAGAAACUGACGCUGAGGCGCGAAAGCGUGGGGAGCAAACAGG